UCUUUAAUUCUAAAAAUACACAACGCAGAAGAAAACCCACUACACAAGGACUAAGACAAAACACCUGGGGAAGAGAUUGAAUGCAAUUAAAUGUCCGUGGUAACAAAUGGGUAGGCGGGGUCAACAAUUAACAUCAGGGAAUGACAGCAGACAGACACAAGGGAAAAUACGGACAGACUCGUUACACUACCAGGUUUUUACAGGUAUUUAAGCCAAACACACAUUACUGUUUGUGCAAAAUAUUAUUCCUCUGUGUUGAUACCAAGCCGUUUGUUUAUGGUUUUGACCCUCUUCUGUUUUUGGAAGAACUUUACCCACCUACUGCUAUUGUUACGUCCUUUUCUAUUUGUUUUCUGUUUUUGGGGAGGUGUUUGAGUUUCUGUGCAGGAUAAACCCUGAUUGGUUCCUGAGGUUUACCUGGUGCCACGCCCUGCUGGUCAGCUGACUCCCUCUGGCCUAUAAAAGCCUCCACCACCACUUCCUGUUUAGCUUCUUUGGCUCAUUUGCUGUCAUCACUUGCUUUUUGCUAACUAGUUGUGUGAAAUUGCUCUGUGUAUUUAUAUUCUUAGCAUUUCCUGUUAAUACUGACUCUUGCCUGUUUUUUUUACUUUGAUUCUGGAUCGCCCUUGUUUGGACCUGUUUGCUAAUUUGUAUAUAGUGGUAUAUAAUAUUUGUGGGGAAGUAGGGAGACCGAUGCCAUUUUGUUUGUACCUUUUCUUGAUUGUGUUUAUUCUUAGGGAGAUAGGGAAGUGAUUUGUGUUUUCUUUUUCUUUUGUUUAGUAAGGAAGUUAAGGGUUGCAAUAAAUAGCCGUUUCAUUUGUUAUUUUGGCCUUGUUGGCUCCUGAAGACACCCCCAUUUGUACACUUGUUUUCCUAGUAAAAUAUUGUUCUUUCAGCUA